rnacentral:lncRNA from 1 species
AGAAUUCUCGCAGGCGCCUGGGCCGGGUGCCCGGCCGUGCGUGAGUGCGGAACAAGUCUGGGCGCGGGGAAGGGCGUGGGUGCGGGCCGUGGGUGGGUGCGGGGCAGGGCGCGGGGCUGUGGGAGGGCGCGAGGCCGUGUGUGGGUGCGGGGCUGGGUGCAGGCCGUGGGUGGGCGCGGGGCCGGGGCUGGCGGGGCAGGGCGCAGGCUGCUGCAAGGCGGCCUCGUGGAUUCUGGCCCCGGACGCACGAAGCGGGUUCUACUUUUUAAAAAAACUGCGUUGCCUUUUCCUUCCUCUACGUUAGCAUCCUGUCCGGGGUCCCCGGCCCAUGUGGCCUUUCUUCCAGCGACAGUACACUUAGCUCAGAACGGAUUGACACCCACUCUGUGUUUCCACCGGGCGCGCAGGCUCUGCAAUGCGGAGCGCGUUCUCUGAAGGACAGGCCCCGGAGUCACGGCUACAGCCACAGAAAGCGGAAACCGAGCUGCAGUCCAGAGGGGAUCCCCGUACAUUUCCAGCGGGCUCAGACACAGGGUCCCCCACAAGAAAGAAACAGGACAGAAAAAGUCAGGACACGUAUGCUGUGGAGAGUCGAGGUCUCGCCUAGAUCUUGGGUGUGGGUAGACGCAGCCGCUGGCAGUUUUCCUUUCCAGCGUCUCUGGGGAGCCUGGAGAUGUCCUUGGUGCCGAUGUGACACGAAGAGUGAUUGCGCCGCCCUGCAGAGGCGGUGGCGGGACGCUGCGCUCGGGCUGGGAAAGGCCGGCCCCAGGGCGACCCCUCCGGAGGCCCCCGGAGAGCAGGGCUUUCUCCACACGGAGACUUUCUAGCCACGUGAGACUUUGACCUCCCAGUCCCCCAGAUUCAGCGCUGGGACCGAGCGUCUGCUGUUAUUUUUAGUAGAAGUAUAAAAAGAAUCUCGAAAAGUUUUAGCUCUGGAGAAGGCGUGAAUACAGCUGGUGCCUUCAUACACUCCACUUGAGCCGCUCUUUAAGAACUCCAGGAGAUCAGAAAGCAAUACGAAAGCCAGAGCAUUGCACAUGGGAUGGGCUGGCGGGUGGCCUUUGGGUCCCUAUCUUAUGGACGAUUUUUGUAAAUGGGGCAUUGGAGAUGAGUAUCACCUGGAUCACAUUUUUAGGUUGAAUUCCUCCGUGGGGGGAACUUUAGCAAUACGCAUCCAAAUAAGAAUGUAGAUUGCAAUAAUUGUAGUAAAGUGUUUGCCAGACUCAUCUCAGAAAAAGACAUUAUCAAAAGGCAUUUAUUAUCUUCCUAAUGCGUGUCUGGCACUGGGCAGACACUGU